AUGAAGGAUAUCAAAGUGAAUUUUCAAUUCGGUGAUAGGAUAAUCACGAUCACAGCCGAACAACUCUUACCACACAUCAAGAAGGAAUUACCGGGCUUGGCGCUGCAAGAAAAAAAGAAAAUAAACGUGCUUACCUCGCUUAAACAAAUCAAAACGGAAAAAACCCUACAGUUUUUACAAGAGGAAUUAGGUAUCCAAAUACCCUCAACAGGAAUACUGCAAGAAAUUACAUCGAUGGAAGAAAUCGGUAGCAUACUUGAGGACGGAUCGUCAGAGGAAUUCCACGAACAACAAGAAGAAGACGGAAAUGCCACAGUGAAAAUCCAUAGCUUAAAACAUCCAAGCAAACUCACAAAAGAGGAAUUAAUUGCAGAAUUGAAGAAAUUUGGAGUACCGUAUGUGUUUGCAAAUACGAAAGACGCAGCUAGGGCACUGGCAAAAUUACACGAGGGGACUCUAGAAGUACCGAAGACUCCAGCAGAAGAAAUUUUUCAAGACACCUUCAACAAAAUCUCUUCAAUAGCGUCACGACCCGUCAGUAAAUCAUUGCACUACGAGACAGAAGUACAUAAUUUACAACAGGGUGCUUCUCAAACAGAUAUAUCUCAACGACAGGGAUUUCACCACCCAUCAGGUGAACACCAAAAGCUUGCACUCCAGGAUGCGCCUCACGCCGAUUUCCUUCAACAGAUGAGUUCGAACUGGGCGGCACUCUUGGGUGAAACCCAAGCGCCGCCACUACAGGAUGUUCAACACACGCAACGAACGUUACAUAAUGUAUCAAAAGUUCAGACUGCUCAGGGUCUUACAACACAGAAAAUGCAGUCACAUAAUAGAUCAAAGGAGACGGAGUUGGUUCAGAAUCAGCCCAGUAAAACAUUACCGAAUCAUCGAGACCAGGAACCUUACGGGAAAUCUCAUACACAGUAUCACUGUCAAAACCCUCAAGGCUCAGGAGACCAUGUUUUACAAACCGCACAAGGAGUUCCCAAUAACCAACAAUGGAUCCAAACACCGUGGAAUCAACCUCCGUGGAGUCAACCAGGGAUUCAACAUCCAUGGAGUCAACCUUGCAGUCAACCUGCAUGGAAUCAACCAUGGUUCCAGCCUCAAUGGGCUCCAUCUCAGCUUCAUCAGCAAUACGAACCACCACCAGGAUUUAGAAAUUCUAGAUUAAAUGAAUCUGUGUAUCAUCGUGAUCACCCACAAGAACAUUAUCGUCAAAAUUGCUAUGGCAAUGCUCAAAGUGAUAACAAACAUUUGACAGACAUGUUACGCCCGCCAAAACUCGCGUUACCAACAUUUGAAAAAGGAAAAGCGAUGGACUGGCUAGACAGUUUCGAAGCAUUAAUGGCUCAAUAUUCGGAUGACGUGAAAAUAGGUCAUUUGAUAGCAUGCAUGGUGAAAGAUGACAGCAAAUGGCUUCAAAACCACGCAGAAGAAAUAAGAUCAGGAAAUUGGGAGAGCGUGCGAAAAAUAUUUACCUUUUAUGAAGACAAUCGUAAAGAUCAUUUUGAAGAACAAAGGAAGUUUGACGCAACAACCCAAGACAAUUUAGAAUCAGGAUUAGACUAUAUAGAAAGGAAAAUAAGGAUGGCGAAGAGACUCGAACACCCACCCCCAAAUACAGAAAUAAUAAAAAGUGUAAUCAAAGGGCUCGAUUCAACACUAAAAAUCCCUGUGUACAAUCAACACCCAAAAACGUUCACGGAGUUACGACUGGCAGUAAAGAUGGCUCAGGACGAUUCUCAUAUCAUCAAACCACCGGAUAGUUUGAUACAACACCUUAAUACAGGCCCUGAUAAAGAAACUCUAAGUACAGAAAUAGAAGUACUGCUAACAGAAAAACUCAAGAAGUUAGGGGUCGAUGGGAGCAAACAAGUCAACCAGGUUACAUUUGCGGAGGACGGACGCUCCAGGCAUCGCUGGUCGAGAAGAGACGCCUAUGAUAGAGACAACACAACACGCACAUCUCGAAGCUCAAGUCGGGAUAGAUCCCAGUCCAGAGAUCGUUUGUCAUCACGUCCUUACUAUAGAGACUAUAGUAGGGACAGAUACUACGAUAGGCGGCAAAACAGUAGAAAUAAAUACAAUGGAGGAAACAGAAGAAAUAGCAGGGACAGAGAUGGAUAUCACUACGAGAGGAGCAGCAGCAGGGAUAGAAGAUUCAACGACAGAAGUCCUGGAAGAACUCUAUACCGCGGCCGUGACAGGGAGACUAGCAGUGACAGGUAUUGGGACAGAACUGAGAAUAGGAGGCGACAUAGUUACGACGGAGGAAACAGCCACAGAAGAGACUAUAGCAGAGAAUGGAGCAACGGUAGCAACAGCAGAUAUCACAGUAGAGAUAUCACGCCAAAACGUCAUAGGGAUGAUCGUGACAGAGGAUCACGUACUCCAGAAGGCAAGAGAACAAGGGACCACAGCGAAGAACCAAAAAAC
rnacentral:lncRNA from 1 species